rnacentral:rRNA from 1 species
UCUUAGGGAGGCACCAGUGGGAAUUUUGGACAAUGGGGGGAACCCUUAUCCAAGCCAUGCGGCGUGGUGAAGAAGCCUUUAUGGUUGUAAAGCACUUUAAGCGAGGAGGAAGGCUACUUUAGUUAUUACCUAGAGAUAGUGGACGUUACUCGCAGAAUAAGCACCGGCUAACUCUGUGCCAGCAGCCGCGGUAAUACAGAGGGUGCGAGCGUUAAUCGGAUUUACUGGGCGUAAAGCGUGCGUAGGCGGCUUAUUAAGUCGGAUGUGAAAUCCCCGAAGCUUAACUUGGGAAUUGCAUUCGAUACUGGUGAGCUAGAGUAUGGGAGAGGAUGGUAGAAUUCCAGGUGUAGCGGUGAAAUGCGUAGAGAUCUGGAGGAAUACCGAUGGCGAAGGCAGCCAUCUGGCCUAAUACUGACGCUGAGGUACGAAAGCAUGGGGAGCAAACAGGAUUAGAUACCCUGGUAGUCCAUGCCGUAAACGAUGUCUACUAGCCGUUGGGGCCUUUGAGGCUUUAGUGGCGCAGCUAACGCGAUAAGUAGACCGCCUGGGGAGUACGGUCGCAAGACUAAAACUCAAAUGAAUUGACGGGGGCCCGCACAAGCGGUGGAGCAUGUGGUUUAAUUCGAUGCAACGCGAAGAACCUUACCUGGCCUUGACAUACUAGAAACUUUCCAGAGAUGGAUUGGUGCCUUCGGGAAUCUAGAUACAGGUGCUGCAUGGCUGUCGUCAGCUCGUGUCGUGAGAUGUUGGGUUAAGUCCCGCAACGAGCGCAACCCUUUUCCUUACUUGCCAGCAUUUCGGAUGGGAACUUUAAGGAUACUGCCAGUGACAAACUGGAGGAAGGCGGGGACGACGUCAAGUCAUCAUGGCCCUUACGGCCAGGGCUACACACGUGCUACAAUGGUCGGUACAAAGGGUUGCUACACAGCGAUGUGAUGCUAAUCUCAAAAAGCCGAUCGUAGUCCGGAUUGGAGUCUGCAACUCGACUCCAUGAAGUCGGAAUCGCUAGUAAUCGCGGAUCAGAAUGCCGCGGUGAAUACGUUCCCGGGCCUUGUACACACCGCCCGUCACACCAUGGGAGUUUGUUGCACCAGAAGUAGCUAGCCUAACUGCAAAGAGGGCGGUUACCACGGUG